GAUAAACGCUGGCGGCGCACAUAAGACAUGCAAGUCGAACGGACUUAACUCAUUCUCUUAGAUUGAGAGCGGUUAGUGGCGGACUGGUGAGUAACACGUAAGCAACCUGCCUAUCAGAGGGGAAUAACAGUGAGAAAUCAUUGCUAAUACCGCAUAAACUAGUAGCAUCGCAUGAUGUAGCUAGAAAAGGAGUAAUCCGAUGAUAGAUGGGCUUGCGUCUGAUUAGCUAGUUGGUGGGGCAACGGCCUACCAAGGCGACGAUCAGUAGCCGGACUGAGAGGUUGAACGGCCACAUUGGGACUGAGAUACGGCCCAGACUCCUACGGGAGGCAACAGUCGGGAAUAUUGCGCAAUGGAGGAAACUCUGACGCAGUGACGCCGCGUAUAGGAAGAAGGUUUUCGGAUUGUAAACUAUUGUCGUGAGGGAAGAAAUUGACAGUACCUCAGGAGGAAGCUCCGGCUAACUAUGUGCCAGCAGCCGCGGUAA
rnacentral:rRNA from 1 species